CCGCAACCUUGCGCCGUCCUCCUUCCAUCGCGUGGCCGGCGGCCAACUUCCUUUUCCCAGCGACGGCCAAUCCUGCGAAUAGAAACACCCACAGGUCAAACCCUAGACGAAUCCCCACCCAGCUUUGCAUCUCUAUUCUCCCCAAUCCCUCCCCUGCUGCUCCUCCUGAAUCCCCUCCCUCCACUCCAAGUCCGGCGAGCCGGCGGCGUCUGUUUUCUCUCACUCGCGCGUGUCUGCUGCCCCUGCCCGUCCUUCUCGUGCUGCCAUAAUCGGACGGCCAAAUCCGCCGGGAUCAGCCUCCUCCUCGGAUGGAGACAUGGAGGCGAGGCGGGAGCCGCUGCCCAUGGUCGCGAGGAUGACCAGCCACUCGCACCACUGCCGCUACAGGUCCCCUCUCCAUCCUCAUCUAUGCAAGGUUCAAGGGCCACCGCUCGCGUUUCUGUGAUGCUACCUCUCCCUGCUCCCUGCUGAGGCAAUGGGAUCUCUAACCCCUUUGUGUUGAGCAUGAUGACUCUGUUGUGUUGCUGCCAUUUAGAAAAGGGAGGACACAGAAGCGAGGGGUCAGAUCAGGCCGCCGCUCGCACCGCCGUGCACCGGGUCAUUGCUGCAAUGAACAACUUGUAGCCGCUGAGAAUACUGCAGCUCGCUGCUCGCACCGCCACAAUGUUCCGUUCUGUCGCUGGGAGGAGCUGCUGGUGGAUACCACUAUACCAUUCAGUAGUGACAUGUUUCUUUUUUCAUUCAGUUAAUUGCAUUGGACUAUUAUCUUAUAGUAAUUUCUGCAGUUUGAUAGCUUAAAUCUAUAUCAUGUAAUUGCGAGGGUAGUGCAUUGGCGUUCACACAAGCGUUCAUUGACUAAUUUUUCAAUGUCACAUCAACAAAAAGAAUGUAGCUGGUUCGGUUUCAGUGAAACAUAUUUACUUUCAUGAAAGAAUCAGAUGUUACUAAUUUUUGACUUUGUAACUUUUACUGCAUAAUGUACAAGGACAACACUUCCUAGAUUUCUACCUUUACGUAGAGGAUAGGAAAAUAUUUCUAACUUGUAGUGAGCCUGAACACUGUAUUCAAUUUUAAUUCGACAGGGUAAGUAGAUCUCUCUUUGACUUUUUAGAAACUAACUUGGAAAGUUCAAAGUUCUGCGUGCUUGGUUAUUUAAAGAAUCUGCAUAUAGAAAGCAGAACACGCAAAGAAACUGCCCAUAUUUUAAUUGGCGAUUUCGAAGGAAAUAUCUGCCGUUUGAUGGCUGAAGCCGUUGCGCUUAGCCAUUACAUCACUGUAAACUGAAUCAUAUCUAGUCCGAUCAUAGCCCAUUAGCUUGCAUAUAUACUAUCUGUAUACCAUACAAUACUUUUUCUUCAUAUAUUAUAUUUAGUGUUAGCUUUGUCAAUUUUUGCAGCCGUUGCCGAGCUUCUUGAUAAUGCAAAUAACAAGGUAACCACUGAGGCUUAAUUAGCAUCAAUAUAUUUGCCUAUAGUCUGGUCGACACCACCACCUCUCGUCGUCGACACCAGCGCCGCCGUCGCGCGAAGCAACACCAUCGGCGGUCAUUCGCAGGUACACGACCUCUCCCUCCUUUGGUUCUUCUCUGUCUCCUAUCCAUGGUCUGCAGAAGGAGCGCGGGGCAGCAGAUGCGAGGGCGUUGAGAGUAGUCGCCGGCGAUGGUGGUGAAGAGGAGCACGCAUGGGGAAGAGGCACACUGACGCUGGCCAACCUCCGCCUCCCACCCCUCAUCGUCGCGCUAGGCGGAACGAUGGCAACUUCAUUGAUGGUCUGCAAGACCGCAGAUGCGCGGAAAGGAGAUGCAAGGAAGGUGUUGAUUUUGCACAGAUUGUCUGUGUCGUCAGGUUUGAGACAGGCAUCAGAUGAACCAUACGUCGCCGGUGCUGAUGGUGGUUUAUGUUUCUUGCCUACCCAUACACUACAGUGCAGCUAUAGGAGGCUUUAAAGAAUUUAAAUGGAGCACAACCCCACUGUCUAUGUCCUGGUGUCAUCGCGGCAUCGCUACUAGCACAACAUGAGCAUGGAACAUUGUAGCCAUUUGAAGGGUUAGGUCAGAGUGAGAAUGUCAAAUGAAAUCUUCACUCCUACCAAAUACUAAUAGGUCAUUCCAUCGUAGGAUGUUGCUGGCCAAGGGCUCCUGCUGGUCAAUUGCAGGUCAGUGUUUUUUAUGGUGAGUACUUGGUCCAGGUUGAGGUAAGAAAUUUGUCUCAUGUCUCUUCCUAUAUGAAUCAAGCAAUUUUCUUGAGUAUUUGCAGCUGCAUACAUCUCAAGUUUUCCCUUUCUCAUGGUAGUGUAGUUUUUAUCGGUAAGACUAGAAGCUAGCAUUGCUCAUCAAUUCGUAGUGGCUUAGGCUGGACAUUUAUUCCACUCAAGUACAUUUCAGGUGAGACCGUGAGGUCAUGCGCUGAUAUUUUUUGGCCAUGCAUGAUGUUCUGGUAUUUCAGCUUAUAUGCUUGUGCAAUGCUUGCAUUUUGAGCACUGGUUUGUUGCUUAAUUCUUGCACAUCUAAUUCUAUGCCUCUUAGUAUUACUGUAAUCUUCCCAUGUAUCUUUUCUACUU